GUGAGUGCUAAGUUCCAGCCAGGAUCACAACUCUGCCACUGCCAUCAGCAGGAACAGCUCAGCUUUCACCUUCCACUGCUUGCCAUCCCAAAGCUCUGUCAUCUUUAACAUGUGGCUUCCAAGUUCAUCAUACUCAUUUACAUCCACAGAUAGAGGAGAAACAAGGAUGAUAAUAUGAGGGACUCUUGAAGGAAAUUGUGUACACUUGGCUAAAACUCAGUCUUCCCAACCAAAAUGGAGGCCAGGAAAUGUAAUCUAGCUAUGUGCUCAGGAAGAGGAGGAAACAGAUUUAGUGAACAUCUAGCCAGUCUGUUUCAUAGGCCUAUAGAACCCCAAGAGAUCCACAGGUAGACUUUAAGGGGUCGUUUAAGCAUACAGAAAUACACGGGAAAUGUUGCCUUCAUAUGUAUUUUCCUGGGGAGAGGAAGGGAAGGACUAGCCCUGAUUCUAUUGACUAGGAAUGUAGGCUGGAAGAAGUCAAAUAUAAGCUGAGGAUUAAAAAUGUGUCGAGAUGGGGAGGGUGGGAUAGAAGGUUAGGGCAAACUGAGCAGAAAAACAA